rnacentral:SRP_RNA from 1 species
GGGUGGGUCCGGCGCGGCAGAAACUUCCGAACCCCGCCAGGUCCGAGAGGAAGCAACGGUAAGGAAGACCUUCUGGGUGCCGUCGGGUUGCCUGCCCGGA